rnacentral:lncRNA from 1 species
GUUCCCUCUCUUGUCCUGGGGCAGCAGGGUAGCCUAGUGGUUAGAGCGUUGGGCCGGUAACCGAUAGGUUGUUAUCACGGUGGGAGGCCGUUCCCUCUCUUGCCCUGGGGUUUAUACUUGUAGAAACGCAAUGUUCGGCAGUGGCACGAGAGAGAGAGCACGAACGUCCACUCAGGGGAUCUCACUGGAGUGACAAGAAAAAGGGAAAGGAGGGUGCUUUUCCCAGGGUGCUCCUCCCCUCUUUUCAUCCAAAAACCAGACAACUUCAUGUUGUUUUCAAGAGUCUUUACAUAUUUUACAUCAAGCUACGGAGUUUGGUGCUUGAAGAAGGAUUUGUGUUAGGUUUUAUAAUGUGCACUAGCUCAUUACAUUAGUUAGCUAGCUAAUAUUAGCUUGCUAAUUGAACCAGGAAGUUACACACACACUUCAUAUGAAACCAAUGGGCUGGUGAGUGCAGCACAAUGCACACAACACAAAGUGCUGUACCAAGCUAGCUAUCUAACAAGAUGAUGAAGAAAUCAUUUAAUUCACUCUCCAUUAUCCCAUACUGUCAGUGCCAGUUCGCUUGCUAGCUAAUGUUAGCUUAACGGUUAGCAUCACCAUUUGUCAGUAGCACAAAGUAGCUAGCUUCUCCACAGACUCUCGGCAGCUUACAGGCAGCUGCUUCAUUCAAGACAAAAUAUUUAAGUGGCUUUGAACGGGGUAUGGUAGUAGGUGCCAGGUGCACUGGUUUGUGUCAAGAACUGCAACACUGCUGGGUUUUUCACGCUGAACAGUUUCCUGUGUGUAUCAAGAAUGGUCCACCACUCAAUGGACAUCCAGCCAACUGUGUUAAACAUUGGAGUCAUCAUGGGCAUCCCACCUUGUAGAGUCCAUGCCACAACGAAUUGAGGCUGUUCUGAGGGUAAAAUGGGGAGGCAUCAGAGAGUUGGAGGGGGUUAACAGCGUUGAUGUUGAGGAAGGAGAUGAGGCAUCUGUCAAUGUUGUGGGGUGAGUAUGAGGGAAGAGAGACAUGAAGGAUCUUGUU